UGGGGAAUCUUGGACAAUGGGCGCAAGCCUGAUCCAGCCAUGCCGCGUGUGUGAAGAAGGUCUUCGGAUUGUAAAGCACUUUAAGUUGGGAGGAAGGGCCAUUACCUAAUACGUGAUGGUUUUGACGUUACCGACAGAAUAAGCACCGGCUAACUCUGUGCCAGCAGCCGCGGUAAUACAGAGGGUGCAAGCGUUAAUCGGAAUUACUGGGCGUAAAGCGCGCGUAGGUGGUUUGUUAAGUUGGAUGUGAAAUCCCCGGGCUCAACCUGGGAACUGCAUUCAAAACUGACUGACUAGAGUAUGGUAGAGGGUGGUGGAAUUUCCUGUGUAGCGGUGAAAUGCGUAGAUAUAGGAAGGAACACCAGUGGCGAAGGCGACCACCUGGACUGAUACUGACACUGAGGUGCGAAAGCGUGGGGAGCAAACAGGAUUAGAUACCCCGGUAGUCCCUGAGCGGG
rnacentral:rRNA from 1 species